UGCAAGUCGAACGGGAUUAUUUUUGUAGCAAUACAGAAAUAAUUCAGUGGCGAACGGGUGCGUAACACGUGGGCAAUCUGCCGAAAAGUGGGGGAUAGCUCGCCGAAAGGCGAAUUAAUACCGCAUGUGGUGAGGGACGACAUCUUCCUGAAUCCAAAGCCGGGGCAACCUGGCGCUUUUUGAGGAGCCCGCGGCCUAUCAGCUAGUUGGUGAGGUAACGGCCCACCAAGGCUAUGACGGGUAGCUGGUCUGAGAGGACGACCAGUCACACUGGAACUGAGACACGGUCCAGACACCUACGGGUGGCAGCAGUCGAGAAUUUUUCUCAAUGGGGGAAACCCUGAAGGAGCGACGCCGCGUGGAGGAUGAAGGCUUUCGGGUUGUAAACUCCUGUCAUUUGGGAACAAGUGGCCGAACUUAACUGCUUCGGCCUUGAUAGUACCAGAAGAGGAAGGGACGGCUAACUCUGUGCCAGCAGCCGCGGUAAUACAGAGGUCCCAAGCGUUGUUCGGAUUCAUUGGGCGUAAAGGGUGCGUAGGUGGCGCCGUAAGUCGGGUGUGAAAUUUCGGAGCUUAACUCCGAAACUGCAUUCGAUACUGCGGUGCUUGAGGACUGGAGAGGAGACUGGAAUUCAUGGUGUAGCAGUGAAAUGCGUAGAGAUCAUGAGGAAGACCAGUGGCGAAGGCGGGUCUCUGGACAGUUCCUGACACUGAGGCACGAAGGCCAGGGGAGCAAACGGGAUUAGAUACCCCGGUAGUCCUGGCAGUAAACGGUGCACGUUUGGUGUGGGAGGAUUCGACUCCUUCCGCGCCGGAGCUAACGCGUAAACGUGCCGCCUGGGGAGUACGGUCGCAAGAUUAAAACUCAAAGAAAUUGACGGGGGCCCGCACAAGCGGUGGAGUAUGUGGCUUAAUUCGAUGCAACGCGAAGAACCUUACCAG
rnacentral:rRNA from 1 species